AUUGAACGCUGGCGGCAUGCCUUACACAUGCAAGUCGAACGGUAACAGGUCUUCGGAUGCUGACGAGUGGCGAACGGGUGAGUAAUACAUCGGAACGUGCCCGAGAGUGGGGGAUAACGAGGCGAAAGCUUUGCUAAUACCGCAUACGAUCUCAGGAUGAAAGCAGGGGACCGCAAGGCCUUGCGCUCACGGAGCGGCCGAUGGCAGAUUAGGUAGUUGGUGGGAUAAAAGCUUACCAAGCCGACGAUCUGUAGCUGGUCUGAGAGGACGACCAGCCACACUGGGACUGAGACACGGCCCAGACUCCUACGGGAGGCAGCAGUGGGGAAUUUUGGACAAUGGGCGCAAGCCUGAUCCAGCCAUGCCGCGUGCAGGACGAAGGCCUUCGGGUUGUAAACUGCUUUUGUACGGAACGAAAAGACUCUGGUUAAUACCUGGGGUCCAUGACGGUACCGUAAGAAUAAGCACCGGCUAACUACGUGCCAGCCGCCGCCGCAGUAA
rnacentral:rRNA from 1 species